UAAAUACUUUUUUCUUCCAUUUAGGUACCAAGCAGGAGACUUUAGUGGCCAGUUGCUUGCUGAAGUUUCUGCUAUCAAGCACCCUCGGCAGAGCUUUAUUCCUGUAAAUAAUAGUCAAGUUGUAAUUAAACAAGAAACACGGGUAACCAAAAGCAAGCCAGUUAAAGGUGCACCUACGAAGAAACGUCAGUACAAAAGAAAAAGGCCAGAGUCCAGCUCAUCUAAAUCACUGUCUCUGCAAAUAGUCAUGGUCUGGACAUAAACUUAGGAGAACUUGCAAGUUCUGAAGAUGAAGGCUUGUCUUUGAGUCAGUCUGAUCAAGAUGAAGAUAAUGAUCCAGAUGGUGCAUAUGCAUUUAGGAGGAAAAAGAACUGCAGCUAUCACGAAGUAAUUGCUUAGUUUAUAUAUAAUUUUUUUUUUU